rnacentral:rRNA from 1 species
AGAGUUUGAUCCUGGCUCAGGAUGAACGCUGGCGGCGUGCUUAACACAUGCAAGUCGAACGAAGCGCUUAAAUGGAUUUCUUCGGAUUGAAGUUUUUGUGACUGAGUGGCGGACGGGUGAGUAACGCGUGGGUAACCUGCCUCAUACAGGGGGAUAACAGUUAGAAAUGACUGCUAAUACCGCAUAAGCGCACAGUGCUGCAUGGCACAGUGUGAAAAACUCCGGUGGUAUGAGAUGGACCCGCGUCUGAUUAGCUGGUUGGUGGGGUAACGGCCUACCAAGGCGACGAUCAGUAGCCGGCCUGAGAGGGUGAACGGCCACAUUGGGACUGAGACACGGCCCAAACUCCUACGGGAGGCAGCAGUGGGGAAUAUUGCACAAUGGGGGAAACCCUGAUGCAGCGACGCCGCGUGAGCGAAGAAGUAUUUCGGUAUGUAAAGCUCUAUCAGCAGGGAAGAAAAUGACGGUACCUGACUAAGAAGCACCGGCUAAAUACGUGCCAGCAGCCGCGGUAAUACGUAUGGUGCAAGCGUUAUCCGGAUUUACUGGGUGUAAAGGGAGCGUAGACGGUUGUGUAAGUCUGAUGUGAAAGCCCGGGGCUCAACCCCGGGACUGCAUUGGAAACUAUGUAACUAGAGUGUCGGAGAGGUAAGCGGAAUUCCUAGUGUAGCGGUGAAAUGCGUAGAUAUUAGGAGGAACACCAGUGGCGAAGGCGGCUUACUGGACGAUCACUGACGUUGAGGCUCGAAAGCGUGGGGAGCAAACAGGAUUAGAUACCCUGGUAGUCCACGCC